UUCAAGCUUCGGCUGGAUUGGUGUACGCUGAUGGUCUGCUAAGAAUUCUGCUGAGUUGAAGGGAUCCUCCUGUCAGACAACCUCUCCAAAGUACAAUAGGACUAGGUUCCCACUACAAGGAUUAGAUUUGGCUACUGCAGUCCCGGUUUGGGCCAGCCUCAC